rnacentral:rRNA from 1 species
UACGUAGGGGGCGAGCGUUGUCCGGAUUCAUUGGGCGUAAAGAGCUCGUAGGCGGUUUGGCAAGUCGGGUGUGAAAUCUCUGGGCUCAACUCAGAGAGGCCACUCGAUACUGCUAUGACUAGAGUCCGGUAGGGGACCAUGGAAUUCCUGGUGUAGCGGUGAAAUGCGCAGAUAUCAGGAAGAACACCAACGGCGAAGGCAGCUCGCUGGGACGGAACUGACGCUAAGGCGCGAAAGCGUGGGGAGCGAACAGG